AACAGAUAUGCAUACAGACAAACUUUGGACACUUAGUGCGAGUAUACCCAUUUAUUUCAGACAUCAGUUUCUUGACUGCUCAUGUUUUAUAUGUAGAACUGGUUGGUAAAGAUGUUGGUUUUAAUUGGAGAAACCUGACACCGGCUUUCUACACUGGGUUUGUCAAUGCAAGUUUCACAGCAUUCGUUUCCGUGGUAUUUAUCUUGCUGGCGUUUAAACGAAAAAGAUUUAAUGUCGAAGAAAAUGGUUUCGUUUACGUGAAAUAGGAACAUUCGAAAUCAGAAAACACUGUUGCUCGUUGUCAUGGAAUCCAUUACGCUGAUAGUCAAAGUAUAUCCGUGAGCGACCAAUCGUUGUCUUUGUAUCGUCAUGUUGACAACGAUUUUGUUGUAACUGAGCUACGACGAAUGGCUGAAACACUUUGGAAUCCAGAUGUAGUCAGUAUUGGUCGCAAUGGUCGAGAACUUCAACAUUCGUCAAUAAAUAUUACCAAAAUAGCAUCAAUAGGUAAUGCAUCGGCAUUUCAGUCCUACCUGAAGAAAAAGAGGCAAAUUGAAAAUUUUGCCUCCGGUUUUGGCAUGAAGCUUUUCUCCAGAAAGCUUUUCUGGAGUGGGUCCUAUUUAUACAAAAAUGUUUUUAAAACAUGAUUCUUGUCUUGGAAAAGUUGUUAACAGUAGUAUUAAUGAAUAUUACAUGUUUCAUGGAACUCCUGUCGACAAUCUUGAAGAAAUUGAAAGAAAUGGAAUUGAUGUAAAUAUGUCACGAAAUGGAAUGUUAGGAAGGGGAAUUUACUUUACCGAGGAUUCUGUCAAAGCCGACCAAUACACAGGUAAAAGGCGUGACGGGGAAGACGAACUGUGUUGCAUAUUAGUGUGUAGGGUGUUGCUAGGAGACAGUGUGAUAAUAAAACGUAACGUUAAAGGUCAUACAGUUACUUCUACAGCAAUCUCUGCUCCAUGUAAAACAUGUUUAAAACCUGAACCUGACUGCUGCUGCUUCAGCGGAUCAACAAAAUUUGAUUCCGUAAUAUUUCAGGGAAUGCUUUUCAGAGAUUUCGUUGUUUAUGAAACGCAUUCAUGCUUUCCCGAAUUUGCGAUAAUGUACAAAAGAGUAAAUUAAUAUUAACACACUUGGUAUUAUAGAAAAAUAUAUUGCAUAUUUCGCAAGUCAUUUUUACUUGUACAUCCUUUGGACAACUGUAAUAUGCUUAAACGUAAUAUCGAUUUUGGUACCUUCACGCUUCCGUAGAAACAUAUUUAUUGCCUAUUGAACAGUUGCUUUAUAACAAUGUAUUUUUAUCAUUAGAGAGUUAGUUUUACUUAUACUGUCGGGAAAUGUGUUCAUUACAUUAUAAAUACAUACCUUUGUGUGCAUUCCUAAUACUUGGCAAUACAGAAGCGCUUGCAAUGUAGAAAUAUCAACAAAAAUAUUAGAUUCAAGUUGAGAUAUGCAUAUAGCACUGUAGUCAGCUUACAAUACACACUAUUACAUGACUCAUUAACUUGUGCUAUCGACCGGUCUAUAGUUCAACACAGCUUUGCAGGACUAUAAACAAAAAAUGGGAGGAAAAUGUUUUGAAAUUUAUUUCUGAUGUCUUGUAACAAUUUUAAGCGUAUUAAAUGACUUGCCUGUCAAUAGUAAAAACUAUUUACUGAGGUCCUAAUAAAUGUAUAAAUUGCCUGGUGACUUAUAGGCCCAUUGGGCCGGGUGUGUUUAAUUGUUAAAUAUUGUAUGUAAUUAUGUUUAUAUGCUCACACAGGUCACGUUAAUAAACAAAUUUCUUAUCU